CACGUAUUACGUGUACAAAACUGAACAUAACAAAUUUGUCGUGAUGUGGGUAACGAUUAAAUUUAGGUAACGCACAGUGACGAGCAACAUGUGAUGAUAAGCUGUAAAGAGGAAGAGUUUAGAAACAAUAUUGGUCUCUGGGUGUACAAAAGAUCGUAAUAAUCCACUAAUGGCCUAUCAAAUGUUUCGGCAGGAGUACAUGCAAAUGCCUGUGGUGACACGAGCUUACACAACAGCUUGUGUCAUCACGACUGUUGCUGUGCAACUAGACUUGAUGUCACCGUUUCGGUUGUAUUUCAAUCCUACACUAAUAAUCGAACAAUAUCAGCUAUGGAGAUUAAUAACAACAUUUUUAUUUUUUGGAAAUAUGGGUUUCAAUUUCUUUUUUAACAUGAUCUUCACGUAUCGUUAUUGUCGAAUGUUGGAAGAAGGAUCAUUCCGCAGAAGGACAGCCGACUUUGUAAUGAUGUUCAUUUUUGGAGCCAUAUGCAUGAUUAUGUUUGCGUUUUUUGUUAAUGUAAUGUUCCUGGGCCAUGCGUUUACAAUUAUGUUAGUCUAUGUUUGGUCAAGGCGAAACCCUUUCGUUAGGUUAAACUUCUUUGGACUUAUAAACUUUCAAGCGCCGUAUUUGCCGUGGGUGCUUCUCGGGUUUUCUAUACUUCUUGGUAAUACAAUAUGGGUAGAUCUAGUUGGAAUGGCUGUAGGACACAUGUACUACUUCGCGGAGGAUGUAUUUCCACGUUCAAGAGGAGGUUUUCGUGUUCUUAAGACUCCGCAAAUACUUAAGACUUUAUUUGACGCACAUCCAGAAGAUCCAGACUAUACGCCACCGCCCGAAGAUCGUCCGGGUGGAUUCAAUUGGGGUCAAGAAGCCAAUGUGCAGUGAUUCUAAAUUUGAAGUCCUGCUUCCAAAUCGUCUCUUACCAAUUGGCAUAUCAAACGAGUCCCUGGACUUUGUAUCAAUUACAUAACAGUACAUUUGGUACUACAUUCGAUAACAGAAUGCACAGAACUUACUAACAAUAAAAUACAUCAGUUUUUUUUAUGGGCAUUUGAUAAAAAAUAAUAUUAAAAGGUAUAUAUAAGUUAUAAUUUCAAGAAGACCAGAGAAUGUUUAAUGAAAUGUAAAAUAGCAUUCCCUUUGCUGUUGGUGUUUGUAACUUGUGCGCAUGAAUGAGAAACGAAGUGUAACGAGUUACGAAGGAUAUUAUAUGUAUAUACUUCGAUAUAAAUGAAUACAUUUGUUUAGGUACAUCGGGUUAUAUGUAUUACGUCUAGAUAAAUGUAGUUGUUAAUCAGGGAACUAAUAUUUUUUUUUUUCUUUCCACUGUUGAUAUUAUGAUGCGAUAAAUAUCAUUCACAGUGUUUUACGUAAUGGGGUUUACCGUGGCGGUUAUUUGCUUGUUUUAAAAUGUCAUAUCGCAUGUUAUACUGUGAUGUACUCAUAUUCUCAAUCAAAUGAAUACAUUCUGACAUAAUGUAGAACGGUAAAUUGAUUAAACUUGUUGCGACAAAAUGUACGACGGUAAAAAGCCAAAGCAUUGCAAUGAAUUUCCAUUGGAUGGUUAUUUAUGACUUACCGGAUAGUAAUCGUUCUGUAAAUACUAGAUAAAAAUGUUAUUUAUAUGAUCAUUGCAAGUAAAUAAAUAGUUGAAUUUAGUUUGACAUUACUGCUGUAUACAUUGUAUAUCAUUAAUGUGUAUUGAAUCUUUUUACGUAAAAGAUUUAACGCAUUUAGUUAAUUUUCGAUUUAAAUUUUAAAUACAUUUCAUUUUUAUGAUAGUUCUUUUUGGGUUUUCUUAUAAUUUUUUGAAUACUUAUUGUACAAAUGAAGAU